AAGACGAUGACGUUGAUAGGCCGGGUGUGUAAGCGCAGCGAUGCGUUGAGCUAACCGAUACUAAUGAACCGUGAGGCUUAACCUU
rnacentral:rRNA from 1 species